rnacentral:rRNA from 1 species
GUGAGGAAUAUUGCGCAAUGGAGGCAACUCUGACGCAGCCAUGCCGCGUGCAGGAAGAAGGCGCUACGCGUUGUAAACUGCUUUUAACCGGGAAGAAACCCCAGGACGUGUCCUGGGUUGACGGUACCGGAGGAAUAAGCACCGGCUAACUUCGUGCCAGCAGCCGCGGUAAUACGAAGGGUGCAAGCGUUAUCCGGAUUCAUUGGGUUUAAAGGGUGCGUAGGCGGAGCGUUAAGUCAGUGGUGAAAUCCUGCAGCUUAACUGUAGACUUGCCAUUGAUACUGGCGCUCUUGAGUGCGCUUGAAGUGGGCGGAAUGUGCCGUGUAGCGGUGAAAUGCUUAGAUAUGGCACAGAACACCAAUUGCGAAGGCAGCGCACUAAGGCGAUACUGACGCUGAGGCACGAAAGCGUGGGGAUCGAACAGGAUUAGAAACCCGUGUAGUCC